rnacentral:rRNA from 1 species
UCAGGACGACGCUGCGGCGUGCCUAAUACAUGCAAGUCGAACGGUCUUUCUAUGGAAGCUUGCUCCACUGAGAAGAUAGUGGCGAACGGGUGAGUAACACGUGGGUAACCUGCCCAUAAGAGGGGGAUAACAUCCGGAAACGGGUGCUAAUACCGCAUAGUUUUCUUGAUCGCAUGAUCGGGAAAGGAAAGACGGCCUUUGUGCUGUCGCUUAUGGAUGGACCCGCGGCGUAUUAGUUAGUUGGUGAGGUAACGGCUCACCAAGACGAUGAUACGUAGCCGACCUGAGAGGGUGAUCGGCCACAUUGGGACUGAGACACGGCCCAAACUCCUACGGGAGGCAGCAGUAGGGAAUCUUCCGCAAUGGACGAAAGUCUGACGGAGCAACGCCGCGUGAGUGAAGAAAAGGUUUUCGGAUCGUAAAACUCUGUUGUCAGAGAAGAACAAGUUGGAGAGUAACUGCUCCAGCCUUGACGGUAUCUGACCAGAAAGCCACGGCUAACUACGUGCCAGCCGCUGC